CGAGUUGUAAUUUGCAGAGGGUGCUUCGGGCGCGGCGCCGGUCUAAGUCCCUUGGAACAGGGCGUCAUAGAGGGUGAGAAUCCCGUCUGCGACCGGCGACCAAGCACGCGUGAAGCCCCUUCGACGAGUCGAGUUGUUUGGGAAUGCAGCUCAAAAUGGGUGGUAAAUUUCAUCUAAAGCUAAAUACCGGCCAGAGACCGAUAGCGCACAAGUAGAGUGAUCGAAAGAUGAAAAGCACUUUGGAAAGAGAGUUAAACAGUACGUGAAAUUGUUGAAAGGGAAGCGCUUGCGACCAGACCUGUCCGCGGGCGAUCAGCCUCUGUUCUCAGGGGUGCACUCGUCCGCGAUCAGGCCAGCAUCGGUUCGGGCGGCGGGACAAAGGCCUUGGGAACGUGGCCUCCCUCCGGGGAGGUGUUACAGCCCUCGGUGCCAUGCCGCCAGCCCGGACCGAGGACCGCGCUUCGGCUAGGAUGCUGGCGUAAUGGUCGUCAGCGACCCGUCUUGAAACACGGACCAAGGAGUCUAACAUCGACGCGAGUGUUUGGGUGUCAAACCCAUGCGCGGAAUGAAAGUGAACGGAGGUGAGAACCCUGAAGGGCGCAUCAUCGACCGAUCCUGAUGUCUUCGGAUGGAUUUGAGUAAGAGCGUCGCUGUUAGGACCCGAAAAAUGGUGAUCUAUGACUGAAUAGGGUGAAGCCAGAGGAAACUCUGGUGGAGGCUCGCAGCGGUUCUGACGUGCAAAUCGAUCGUCAAAUUUGGUUAUAGGGGCGAAAGACUAAUCCGCUUGCGACCAGACCUGUCCGCGGGCGAUCAGCCUCUGUUCUCAGGGGUGCACUCGUCCGCGAUCAGGCCAGCAUCGGUUCGGGCGGCGGGACAAAGGCCUUGGGAACGUGGCCUCCCUCCGGGGAGGUGUUACAGCCCUCGGUGCCAUGCCGCCAGCCCGGACCGAGGACCGCGCUUCGGCUAGGAUG
rnacentral:rRNA from 1 species